rnacentral:rRNA from 1 species
AUUGAACGCUGGCGGCAUGCCUUACACAUGCAAGUCGAACGGUAACGCGGGGCAACCUGGCGACGAGUGGCGAACGGGUGAGUAAUGCAUCGGAACGUGCCCAGUAGUGGGGGAUAGCCCGGCGAAAGCCGGAUUAAUACCGCAUACGACCUACGGGUGAAAGCGGGGGAUCGCAAGACCUCGCGCUAUUGGAGCGGCCGAUGUCAGAUUAGGUAGUUGGUGAGGUAAAGGCUCACCAAGCCUUCGAUCUGUAGCUGGUCUGAGAGGACGACCAGCCACACUGGGACUGAGACACGGCCCAGACUCCUACGGGAGGCAGCAGUGGGGAAUUUUGGACAAUGGGCGCAAGCCUGAUCCAGCCAUGCCGCGUGCGGGAAGAAGGCCUUCAGGUUGUAAACCGCUUUUGUCAGGGAAGAAACGCUCUGGGCUAAUACCCCGGGGUAAUGACGGUACCUGAAGAAUAAGCACCGGCUAACUACGUGCCAGCAGCCGCGGUAAUACGUAGGGUGCAAGCGUUAAUCGGAAUUACUGGGCGUAAAGCGUGCGCAGGCGGUUAUGCAAGACAGAUGUGAAAUCCCCGGGCUUAACCUGGGAACUGCAUUUGUGACUGCAUAGCUAGAGUGCGGCAGAGGGGGAUGGAAUUCCGCGUGUAGCAGUGAAUUGCGUAAAUAUGCGGAGGAACACCGAUGGCGAAGGCAAUCCCCUGGGCCU